AGUGGCCUUCCUUGGACAUAACCCAGGAGAUGGCGUAAGAUGAGGAUGAUACACCGGGGAAGGCAAGCAGCACAUUGAAGGGAGACAGAGAGUGAGGCAGAGAGUGAGAGAGAAAAUAAGGAGAAAGGGGCUUCACUGGAAAGGACAGGCAUGAAAGUUGAAGAAAAGGCUGCACAUACUGUAGCAACCCCGGGAGGGCUUUGUCACUGGUGCUGCUGUGGGCAUCCUGAGAGACUGGCCUACUUCUCCAACACUCACUGAGGCCUUGGAGAAAAAAAGGAAAAAGACGGACGUCUGGGUUUGACAGAGAGAGGAGUGGAUUUCUGCCUGCACUCCUAUCAAGGUAAGAACUACUGUAAAGAAAAAAAGAGAGAGAAUACGGACAGUCCUGUAACCAGGAUAAAACCACGUCUUGCUGUGGCUGGUCAAACGGAACCAAGUCAGGCGUUUCAGUGAGGUUUGGUCCCCUUCAACCAGCUACAGCUGCGUGAACUGAACCGGCACGCGUUCCAAAGCGCCGCAGAGAGAAACACGUCGCCAAGGAACUAUAUACCAGGAUACCACGACAGUCAGAUGAAAUUAAAGAUUUCUACAAACAACACGAAGUAAAAGAAACUACAUAUCCUAGCCAGUAAACACUGUUUUUUUUUUUUUUUUUUUUUUUUUUACAUUU